AUUGAACGCUGGCGGCAUGCCUUACACAUGCAAGUCGAACGGCAGCACGGGAGCAAUCCUGGUGGCGAGUGGCGAACGGGUGAGUAAAGUAUCGGAACGUGCCCAGUCGUGGGGGAUAACGUAGCGAAAGUUACGCUAAUACCGCAUACGAUCUAUGGAUGAAAGCGGGGGAUCGCAAGACCUCGCGCGAUUGGAGCGGCCGAUAUCAGAUUAGGUAGUUGGUGGGGUAAAGGCUCACCAAGCCGACGAUCUGUAGCUGGUCUGAGAGGACAACCAGCCACACUGGGACUGAGACACGGCCCAGACUCCUACGGGAGGCAGCAGUGGGGAAUUUUGGACAAUGGGCGAAAACCUGAUCCAGCCAUGCCGCGUGCAGGAUGAAGGCCUUCGGGUUGUAAACUGCUUUUGUACGGAACGAAAAGGUUUGGCCUAAUAAGCUGAGCUCAUGACGGUACCGUAAGAAUAAGCACCGGCUAACUACGUGCCAGCAGCCGCAGUAA
rnacentral:rRNA from 1 species